rnacentral:lncRNA from 1 species
CUAAAGUAUCUCUCUCAUAUCUGUAUUUGUAUAAAUAUCAAUCAUUCAUUUCAUUCUUACCUUUAACUCCAUUUCAGGUCCAUUGCAUUGAUGGCUACGUUUUCUAUAUAUAUAGUGAUGGACGUGAAAAGUGAGUCAAAAUACGAAGGAUUACCUUACACACUAAGCAAAUUUUUACUGCCAUUUACUGAAUUCUAUGAAGGGCUUAUCUCAUUUUUCUUCACUCACCAAAUGGCGCCCACAAAGAUUUCAUUUUUUCUCUUGGAGUUGUACAAGUAACCAUUCUUUGCUUUUACAGGACCUUUCGAUCUUUUUCAAUUGUCCUAUUCUUGUUUGAUUGGGAUUU